AGAGUUUGAUCCUGGCUCAGGACGAACGCUGGCGGCGCGCCUAACACAUGCAAGUCGAACGGAGCUUGACGGAAUGAUUCUUCGGAUGAAUGAAAUUAAGCUUAGUGGCGAACGGGUGAGUAACGCGUGAGCAAUCUGCCUUAAAGAGGGGGACAACAGUUGGAAACGACUGCUAAUACCGCAUAAGCCCACACUACCGCAUGGUAGAGUGGGAAAAGAAUUUAUCGCUUUAAGAUGAGCUCGCGUCUGAUUAGCUAGUUGGUGGGGUAACGGCCUACCAAGGCAACGAUCAGUAGCCGGACUGAGAGGUUGAUCGGCCACAUUGGGACUGAGACACGGCCCAGACUCCUACGGGAGGCAGCAGUGGGGAAUAUUGCACAAUGGGGGAAACCCUGAUGCAGCGACGCCGCGUGAGGGGAGAAGGUAUUCGUAUUGUAAACCUCUGUCUUCGGGGACGAUAAUGACGGUACCCGAGGAGGAAGCACCGGCUAACUACGUGCCAGCAGCCGCGGUAAAACGUAGGGUGCUAGCGUUGUCCGGAAUUACUGGGUGUAAAGGGAGCGCAGGCGGUCAUUUAAGUUGGAAGUUAAAUCUACGGGCUCAACCCGUAUACGCUUUCAAAACUGAGUGACUUGAGUGAAGUAGAGGUAGGCGGAAUUUCCGGUGUAGCGGUGGAAUGCGUAGAUAUCGGAAGGAACACCAGUGGCGAAGGCGGCCUACUGGGCUUUUACUGACGCUGAGGCUCGAAAGCAUGGGUAGCAAACAGGAUUAGAUACCCUGGUAGUCCAUGCUGUAAACGAUGAAUAGUAGGUGUGGGCUGGAAACAGUCCGUGCCGCAUUAACACAAUA
rnacentral:rRNA from 1 species